rnacentral:misc_RNA from 1 species
UACCGGGUUUUAGUAUAUACGAGUUUUUUGAAAUAUAAAGAGAAGCAAUACCGCCCUCUUGAUAGAACAAGAGGGCGGUAUUGCUUCUCUUUAUAUUUCAGACUGUUUUAGCUAAACAAAUAUUUUUUAUUUUUGCAUGAUCAAAAAGGAAUCCUUUGAAAUAAAAAGAAAUAAAAAGAAAUAAAAGAAAAUUAAAAUUCGC